rnacentral:rRNA from 1 species
GACGAACGCUGGCGGCGUGCCUAAUACAUGCAAGUCGAGCGCAGGAAGCCGUCCGAACCCUUCGGGGGGACGACGGUGGAAUGAGCGGCGGACGGGUGAGUAACACGUAAAGAACCUGCCCAUAGGUCUGGGAUAACCACGAGAAAUCGGGGCUAAUACCGGAUGUGUCAUCGGACCGCAUGGUCCGCUGAUGAAAGGCGCUCCGGCGUCGCCCAUGGAUGGCUUUGCGGUGCAUUAGCUAGUUGGUGGGGUAACGGCCCACCAAGGCGACGAUGCAUAGCCGACCUGAGAGGGUGAUCGGCCACACUGGGACUGGGACACGGCCCAGACUCCUACGGGAGGCAGCAGUAGGGAAUCUUCCACAAUGGACGAAAGUCUGAUGGAGCAACGCCGCGUGAACGAUGAAGGCUUUCGGGUCGUAAAGUUCUGUUGUAAGGGAAGAACAAGUGCCGCAGGCAAUGGCGGCACCUUGACGGUACCUUGCGAGAAAGCCACGGCUAACUACGUGCCAGCCGCCGCUGUAAUAC